AGAGUUUGAUCCUGGCUCAGGAUGAACGCUAGCGGCAGGCCUAAUACAUGCAAGUCAAGGGGGCAGCAAUGUCACCGGCGCACGGGUGCGUAACGCGUAUGCAACCUACCUUCAGCAGGGGAAUAACCUUUCGAAAGAAGGGCUAAUACCCCAUAAGACACAGAGUCUGCAUGGACUUAUUGUUAAAGCCUUCGGGUGGCUGAAGAUGGGCAUGCGUUGGAUUAGCUAGUUGGUAAGGUAACGGCUUACCAAGGCUCCGAUCCAUAGGGGGUCUGAGAGGAUGAUCCCCCACACUGGCACUGAGAUACGGGCCAGACUCCUACGGGAGGCAGCAGUAGGGAAUAUUGGGCAAUGGAGGAAACUCUGACCCAGCCAUGCCGCGUGCAGGACGAAGGGGCUCAGCCUUGUAAACUGCUUUUGCCAGGGAAUAAAACCACUUUGCGAAGUGAAUUGAAGGUACCUGGUGAAUAAGCACCGGCUAACUACGUGCCAGCAGCCGCGGUAAUAC
rnacentral:rRNA from 1 species